ACUCGACAUAUCUAGUAAGGACGUCCAUGAGGUGUCCCAUGUCUCGAACUUUUUGCUUGAGGCACCCAAGCUUCUGGACAAGAUGCUGAAAAUGACAAUUCUUUUCCAAAAUCAAAACAGCCUCGGAAGCUAUGAUACCGUCCAAAGAGUGAAUGAUCUGCGCAACCCGACGAGUCAAGUGAUGCACAAUUUAUUCCGUGCAUUGAAUACAAUGAUGUAAAUCAACAAUUGUCACUAGGCAUUUGCAUGUACCUCAAAAUAUUUUGAUGAAUCGCUCCUUCAACUCUUCCCGGGUGUUAAUUGAAUUGGGGGUAGGUUUUUCAACCAUGUAUGAGCCGACCCUUCCACCAUCAUAAUUA
rnacentral:lncRNA from 1 species